rfam:Caenorhabditis remanei strain PB4641 contig94.24, whole genome shotgun sequence.
GCUAGGCAAGAUGUUGGCAUAGCUGAAUGCAAUUUGGCGCUCAGCUCGGCCACAUACUGCCACGCA